CUUUCAUCUGACUUCAAAUAACAUGCGAAAUUUCGACAGAAUUAGCUCCGCUGGAAUACCAAUGGUAAUAUCUUUAUCCUCAACUUUUCGUCCUGCGGUUGAUUGAAAAUCUUUCUCUUAAUCUCUCUGUGUUCCUGCAUGUUCCUGUACGUAUCUGGAGUCAGAGUGUACUGUGCGCUACUCUAUCCUGCCGCUCCAAACAAUCCCUAAUCUGAUCAGUAUCUUUCUAUCAAGCUGCUUUGCAAAUCCCGCCUUCCGCUCCGCGCAUAUAUUUGAUUGGACUCGGCGUAUGCAAAACAGCACCGUCAAAUCAGCCAGGUUCAGAGUGGACCUCAAAGCUUAAACCCUGACCCUGAUGCAUCCUGCCCCCAGCAGAAAGCGAUUUUCUUUCCACCAUCUGCUGCAGAUGAGAAGAAGAAAAAAAAAAAAAGAAGAAGAAGCAGCAGACAACAGCGCAGGGAAAUGUCUGCUCUUAUCUUGCCCUUGAGAAGCAGUGAAGCUCACCCAAAGUCAAUAACAUAAAGCUUUAUUUUCUCAGAUGUAGGACGAAGUUUUUCUUUGAACAUUUAAGCACAAGAAUGCAAAAAAAUGUGGACAUACUUUUAAGACUUCCUCUGCCUUCAUUCUUUUUUAAUGCUUUAAAUUAAUUCAGAGCUCAAAAAGAAGUCUCGAAAUUGUGUUGACAGCACCCAGAUUGGCUUCACACCAACUAGCUGCUUUAUUUGUUUCGAAAUAACACGCUGUACCCAGAAAAGAAAGAUAAAAUGAAACAAACAAUGUCAAGCUCUAUGUUAAUUAUUGAAUAAAUAUCUGACAGGAGACAUAAGAGCAAGCCUGGCUGACAAACUCAUGCUCUAAAACAUCCAACAUUUCUAAAAGUGACUCCGUAGACCCUGCAGCACCAAGUGUUUCCACAGUCUCUGCCUGCCAAUUAUGAACCCUUGAACCUGAACAUACACACACCCUUGUUCAGUAUUUAUUCAGCCUCUCAACAGCUCUUUGUGAGCACGGCUGACAUGCAGACUCUCAAAUAUGAAUGAGCCAGUGCCGGCAUAAAGAUUCGGAGGAUUGAGUUUUAUUUCUUUUCCCUCCCCGGGUGAAUUUGCAGUGGAGAUGAGCUCUCUGUUGAAAAGGAGUUUCAGACUGUUUGCUUGUCACGAGGAGCUGCACAGCGGCUCCAUACGCUGUGUAUUCACUGUGAUUGCGGUGCAUUAUUUGAGAACGUCUUAAUCUAAAACCCCAGAAACCUAGUGUGAUGGUGUUUUUUGUAUGUUACAUAAUGGGAGUCGCACACACAGCAUGCUCCAAAACAAUCUGACUUUAUCUUUUUCCUGUAGGAGCUUUUCUGCUCUCUAUCCAUCUGGUGGAUGGGUUGCUGUGCGAGCGUAAAGAGGCAAGCACACCAUCUAGUGGUUACUCAACUGGAAUGGUAAAUGCCUACCCACUUUUUCUCUCACUCCAUCAUUUGUGUAAAAUAAAUAAACACAAAUCAAAUGAAAAAGAUGAUUUCUACAAGAAAUUGUGUUGUCUGCUCAGAGG